rnacentral:rRNA from 1 species
AUAUCAAUAAGCGGAGGAAAAGAAACUAACAAGGAUUCCCCUAGUAACGGCGAGUGAAGCGGGAAGAGCUCAAAUUUGAAAUCUGGCGGUCUACGGCCGUCCGAGUUGUAAUCUAGAGAGGUGUUUUCCGUGCCGGACCGUGUACAAGUCCCUUGGAACAGGGCGUCAUAGAGGGUGAGAAUCCCGUCCAUGACACGGACUCCCGGUGCUCUGUGAUACACCUUCAAAGAGUCGAGUUGUUUGGGAAUGCAGCUCAAAAUGGGUGGUAAAUUCCAUCUAAAGCUAAAUACAGGCGAGAGACCGAUAGCGAACAAGUACCGUGAGGGAAAGAUGAAAAGAACUUUGGAAAGAGAGUUAAACAGUACGUGAAAUUGUUGAAAGGGAAACGCUUGCAGUCAGUCGCGUCCGUCGGGACUCAGCCUUGCUUCUGCUUGGUGUAUUUCCCGCGGAUGGGCCAACAUCAAUUUUGGGCGCCGGAUAAGGGUGAGGGGAAUGUGGCAUCUUUGGAUGUGUUAUAGCCCCUUGUCGUACACGGUGUCUGGGAUUGAGGACCGCAGCACGCCGUAAGGUCGGGGUUCGCCCACGCCACGUGCUUAGGAUGUUGGCAAAAUGGCUUUAAACGA